rnacentral:rRNA from 1 species
CCCACGGGUGGCUGCAGUGGGGAAUAUUGGACAAUGGGGGCAACCCUGAUCCAGCCAUGCCGCGUGUGUGAAGAAGGCCCUCGGGUUGUAAAGCACUUUCAGUGAGGAAGAACGCCUGGUGGUUAAUACCCAUCAGGAAAGACAUCACUCACAGAAGAAGCACCGGCUAACUCCGUGCCAGCAGCCGCGGUAAUACGGAGGGUGCGAGCGUUAAUCGGAAUUACUGGGCGUAAAGCGCGCGUAGGUGGCUUGAUAAGCCGGUUGUGAAAGCCCCGGGCUCAACCUGGGAACGGCAUCCGGAACUGUCAAGCUAGAGUGCAGGAGAGGAAGGUAGAAUUCCCGGUGUAGCGGUGAAAUGCGUAGAGAUCGGGAGGAAUACCAGUGGCGAAGGCGGCCUUCUGGACUGACACUGACACUGAGGUGCGAAAGCGUGGGUAGCAAACAGGAUUAGAUACCCCAGUAGUC